CCUACGGGAGGCAGCAGUGGGGAAUAUUGGGCAAUGGGCGCAAGCCUGACCCAGCAACGCCGCGUGAAGGAAGAAGGCUCUCGGGUUGUAAACUUCUUUUAUCAGGGACGCAGCAAGUGACGGUACCUGCUGCAUAAGCCUCGGCUAACUACGUGCCAGCAGCCGCGGGAAUACGUAGGUGGCAAGCGUUAUCCGGAUUUACUGGGUGUAAAGGGCGUGUAGGCGGGAAAGCAAGUCAGAUGUGAAAACCAUGGGCUCAACCUGUGGCCUGCAUUUGAAACUGUUUUUCUUGAGUACUGGAGAGGCAGACGGAAUGCCUAGUGUAGCGGUGAAAUGCAUAGAUAUUAGGAGGAACACCAGUGGCGAAGGCGGUCUGCUGGACAGCAACUGACGCUGAGGCGCGAAAGCGUGGGGAGCAAACAGGAUUAGAUACCCCAGUAGUC
rnacentral:rRNA from 1 species